rnacentral:lncRNA from 1 species
CAUAGCAUGAGUCCCUGGUAAACUAAGAUAAAAUAAUGCUAUCAUGUGAUAUGUUUGCAUUUUUAAAAGACCUCUUGGAUAGUGCCUUAACUCAAAGGAAUGAUUUUGUAGUGGAAUAUCAGGCUUUAGAGUAGUCAGGGGGAAAACAAUAGCAUUUUAUUCAUAGAAACUUUCCUUGAGGGCCUGCUCAAGACUCACCUCAUAGGUGUGACUACCUAUUUAGAGUUGCCAGAUAAAAUACAAGGUGCCCUAUAUCUUCAUAUAAGUAGGCCCCAAAUAUUAAAUGGGAUGUACUAAUACUUUUUUAAAAAUCAUUUUUUGCUUCUCUGAAAUCUGAAUUUAACUUGGCAUCCUAUAAUCUUAUUGGUGAAAAAAAAAUAAAGCUUUGAAAAAGCAGAACUAUUACAUUAUAGGAGUUUUCUGAUUGUUUUCAGCUUAGCCCUUGGAAAAAUACAUAGUAUACUGAAAAACCGUUGGGUGCUUAAUGUUCUAGCCCAGGCAUCUUAUAAUAGGACUUCUUCUGGUACAGUGAUAUUAUCUUCCCCAGCACCUCCUCCCUCUCUUCCAAACCUGCUCUUCUUGUAAUCUCUCCCUCUUCUACCCGACGCAGCAAUCUCAGCCAUUGUUGAUUCCUGUGUUACCCACCACUUUCAAAUUGUUGUCAAACUAUGUCGAUUUCUCCUCUGAAAUACAGCUUGAAUCUGUUACCCUCCAUUCUACUUACACUGUUACUGCUUUCACUAGGACUCACUAAUUUUGUCUGGAUGAUGGCAUUAACUUCCUACUGGUUUCACAACUUUCAAACUCUUAUUUCUUUAAUUCAUCUUUAAAUUGUCAAUAGCUAUUUUCU